rnacentral:lncRNA from 1 species
CACGUUUCUUCCUCACUGAUCACUCGUGGCUUUUAUAGAAAGACGCCAGCCUAGCAUCUCGGGCUGGUUUGUGUGGUGUGUGUGUGUGUGUGUGUGUGUGUGGGGGGGUGAGCUCUACUCAGGUCUGCGGCCAUGCGUGCCUGGAAACAUUUGCUGCUGGUUACGGCAGAGAAGCAAUCUUAGCAAUUCCUGUUUUCUUAGCCAGAAAACCAGGGCUUCAACUUUGUCUACUCCCAUGUUUCUCUUCUGUGGAAAUGUUAGUCUGAUUUUUUUUUUUUCAGUGUGAAAUUGUCUUAAAUACGUACAGAACUAUUCUAUACCUCGGUGCUGGCCUGGGAGUCGCCUGGAAACUUCUAAAGGCAUCUUUGCGAUGCCAUGCCAGUCACAUGGUAGGUACUCUGUGGCUUGCUGUUUUCAAGACCCAAGACAGGGCUGGAGACACCGAAGUGCCAGGUCAAGAGAACCUAUUCCCCACAAAGCCUAGGAAAGCUCUUACAGAAAGACUUUCCCAGAAUGCCUUGCUUCUCCGCAGAGAGUCAGGGUGUUCAAGUGUCUGCACUGGAGCCCUUCUCUGACAGGGAGGCCUUCCCAGAAUGCCCCACUUUCCUGCAAAGGGUCAGGGUGUUCAAGUGCCCUUCUUCAUAGAGAGAUGGCUGAUCUUAGUGAGGGGAGCCUCCGUUGCUAGAAUGAGUGCUGCUCUGUAGCUCAUCAGAUGAUCCAGCAUGCCCUCAGUUUGGAGUUUCUGAGCCGAUGGGUCAGUGUUUCUCGUUGGUAUUCGGGCUCAGUGGGAGACAAGAACUGCACUGAUUGCUGCCCAUAGGACACAUGUGUGUGAAGCCCAGGUCACAGGGAGUCUGUAGCGGAGGACCUUCUGUGGAGGAGAAUAAGGUAGAGAUGUGCUCGCAGCAGGAAAUGAUGUCAGUGGGUGGCCAGAACUACAGGGUCUGAUUACAAUCUAACGUCGCUGUAACUUUUGACUCUUCUGUGUGUGUGUGUUUUUUUUUUUUUUUUUUUGCGCAUUUAUCUUGUUGAGUCACAGAAUUAUAUUGAUGAUUGCAGCAAAGUCUAUGGUUAUGUGAAUUUAACUCUAGCUGGCCAAAAGAACGUGAAUUUAACUCUAGAUGGUCUGCUAUAUGAAGAAAGCAAUAUACCUUGUUAUAUUUCAUCUUUCUAAUUCACGGUCCAGCGUUCUCUUUGUCUUUUGUUGGCAGCAAGUGGGAUUCAGAGAUCUCCGUUUAUGUGCUCUGGGCAUCCCAGCUUGCUGUGAGUUUUUCACAUCUGGUACACAGUUGACGCUGGGUGACAUGGAUGUUCUUGCCUGACCAGUAUUUACUCCUGUCCUAGGAACUGGGGAUAUCUCUUUUGUGGAGAACAUUUUCUACAAUCAGAGCAAGGCAUGUUCUGCCUUGGAAGAGCCUACUUAACCAAGUAGUUUAGAGACAAGCUUAUUGAGCAAGUAGACCCGUGAGACAAUUCUGGUGGUAUGAUUGGAAAUUGCUCUCAUUGUACUGGGAUCCAAGCUGACAAUGGUCCACCAGGUGGAGACAGAGCAGAGCUCUGAAGACACUGAGACCUUAGAGCCAGCGGGGCUCGAGAUCAACGGCACACAGAGUGUGUCAUCUUUUCAACCUGGAGCACAGAGCAUGAUGACGGAAGAGAAACAAUUAUUUUACGUGUCCUGAUGAAAUAGAGAAUCCUGGCUGCAUCCUUGGGUGAUCCAGUCUUCAGUUUGUGAUAUGUUACCGUGUCUUCAGAAAUGCACUAGUAAAAUCUGAUUUCAAAGGAAAUGCAAACUUCCUUCUCAGGAAUAUGAUGAAGAGCCUGGAGGGCUGCAUGAGAGGAUGCAGAGGAGAACACGCUUGGGGAUAUGGGCUUGAAUCACUGAAUUUCAUUAGUCUACACCUAGGUCUGGACCUAGACUGCAGAUUGUGGUUUCUGAGUUAAUAUUCCUUUGGAGUCUGGAUCCUUGUUGAAGACCACGGGUGCCUGAUUUAAUAUCCACUUCUACCACUUUCUGUAUCUUUAUUAGUCUUGAAGUUUGCUGAAGUAUUAAUAUGCUUGUGCUGGCUCCCAGGUGGAGUCACAGCUUGGUUCCUAUAAAUUAUUAAUCUCGGGGAACAGACGCUGGCUUCAAAUAUUAAUUUGAGUAAACUUUGCCAGUUUACAGAGUAACUUAUGUGAGUGGAACAUUGCUUAUCACCCUGUGUGAAUAAGAAUCAGCAAUACAAUGCCUUGUCUGGAAGUUCCCCCUGCUUUCAGCAUACUGCCCCUCUCCAAGGGGCAGAACAUCACUGGGUUGGAGAGCCUAGUACCCAUCACCAGGGCCUUUUGCUGUGAUAUAUAAAUGUCAAUGAGGCUAAGAAUCUCAAACUCAGCAUUUUGACAGGGAGUAAACAGAUUACUUUUCCAGACAAGGAAAUCAAGGCACAGUGCACAGUAAGUGUAUCGCCAGGAUAAUGAGGUCCAGAACCGAACUUCAGCCUUCGGUCUUCUGAUCUGAUGGCUGUUUUCUAAAUGUCCAUCCUGACAGUCCCUGUAUGUGCUCAUUAAAGAUGCAGACUCCCAAACCUUUAGUGUGGGACUAGGAUUCUACCUUACUAACAGGGGCAAGCUUUGGAAAUGGCAGUGCUCAGCUCCAACAUCCUCCUUGCUGGCCUGGAGCCUUUGCAGUUGGAUAAAUGAACUUGAACCUAGAGCUGCUUCUGGCCUCUUUUUAACCUUGUGUUUCUAAUCUCCCCUCCCAAAGCAGCCUUCUUUACCACAGUGUCCUUUGUCGCCACUACUGUGCCUCUGCGCAUGCUCAUUAUCCAAACCUCCCCUUCCUAAGGCUUCCUAGGCUCUCAAUGUGCCUGGUCAUUCUGCUCAAGGUUUCUUUUUGAUGACCCAACCUUUGCCUUUGAACAGACAUGUAUCUUUGUCCCAGGCCUUCACUACCUUCUGUUCCUUAGUCAUUGCUUUAAAAAAAAAUCGCCCCCCUCCUCUGUCUUUCAGUCUUUCUGUUUCUGUAUCUCUCUGUCUCCUUGUCUCUGUCUCUUAGUCUCUUUCUCUCCUCUCUUUGUUUUUAAAGAUGGAAUCUUCUUAUGUAGCUAAGGCUGACCUUCAACUCAUAUUCUCCAGAAUGCUGGGAUUACAGGUAUGUUGCACCACACACCAGCUUCAUUGUUUUCUUAUCCUUUAAUUUUGACAGGAUGUCACAUUUGUCUGUAGUAUUGUCAUGAUAACUACUGUAUGCUUGUCUUCAAACUUGUCUAGUGCUGUUUACAUUAAACCACUCAAAUUUACUGCAGAAGAAAUGACUGCUAUGUGUGUCACCAAAAGUGGUUAUAUUUUAAUCUAAACACUCAUGAAGUUGAUUCUGUUAACAGCUGCCCAUGGCUGUUGAAUUGCAGAGGGUCACCUCAUUGAAAUACUAUUCUAAGACCCUCCUUGUCUUCUUUUGGCACUGCCUGGUGUUGGACUCCGGGUCAUAGCUUCAGGUCCUAGUCUGUUUUCUACAAGGCCAAAUGAUGGUUCACAGAACACUAAUUCCAUUGGGAAAAACUCUUGAUUUCUGCCAUUAUCUGAGUCAAAGUCAGAUGUGUUCAUCUCCUACAUGAUGACAAAUUGAUUCAAGGACUUUGGCUCGGAAGCUGUUGCUGGAGGAUCCAAGCCCAAAUUAGAUGCAAAAAAAAUGAGCAGCUGUGUCUGCUGCUGUGGUCUGAAUACAUGACACUUCGAAG